AGGAGUAAAGUGCUGUUAAUGAUGGUGAAAAACUAAAGGGAGCAAACGCUGCAUAAACAAUCCCCAAUUUGAGGACAGGUGCUGGCCAUGAAUCCACUGUCAGUUAUCAGGAAAUAUCUACCUGUGUCACUGAUGUCCCUCAGGGAGUUGGGGGGACUGCUGUCCUUACCCUGGUCUGGGCCCACACGGUGAUGUGGCUCAGUCUGAACUGCCCUCUGGGUAAUUCGGGCCCCCCUCCCCCACACCCGGCCCCCUCCCCCACACCCGGCCUCCUGCCUUUCACUGUAAAAUGCUGCCCUUUGUUAUUGAGCCUUAACUCCGGAGCAGCUGCUGGACUGACAGUCACCAAGUAGGAGAUGAGAGGCUGCUUCACCGGGAAGGUGUGAUGAGGAAUGGAGAUGGAGCAUUGACUGACAGAGUGUGUCUCGGAGGGAAUGGUUCCUGCAGAAUGCUGACGUGGGCGAGAUCUGUUUGGUGGUGACGUCCUGCUAGAGCUGGUGGAAGUGGAAGAGGGUGAUGGUACGUCGAGUGCAGAGACUGAAAUCUUCUGAACUAAAACUCGACACCAUCCAUUCCUUCAUUCCUUCUCCACCUCUGUCAACAGUAAUAGAGCUUUGAAGAAUUUCCACCCUAUCAUUUCUGAAGACGUCAUGUUGGAUUCAAGGUUAUCUUCAAUUCUGUCUCAUUAGAUGCUGCUAAAUCUGCUGAGGUUCUGCAGGCUGUCUGUGUUGUAUGUGGGAACCAGAUUAACUCUGUCAGCUGCUGCCUUAUCCCAUGAACAACACACAAAUUGCUGAAACUCUCUCAGCAGAAAGAACAUCAUACUGAGUUUUCGCGUGUCAGUGAUCACAUAAACCAUGACACUGGGUCAUCCCACGCCAGGUCCAUCUCCAUCCAUGGGCAGUGAUCCUUGAAUCCUGGAAAUGAACUGGCAACUCAGUCUUUGGUCACAGCUGUGUCUGCCCCUCCUGUCUACGCUGUCCCCAAACAAUAUCACCCUCCCCUCAUCUCAUCAUGCAAUGGUCAGUUGCUUAAAUGCACCAAUUGCCAGUAUCCUGAUUUCUUUUGUAAAAUAAAAAUGAACAGUAUGCAGUUGAAAAGGAAGCAGUGUGCCGAAAGUUGGCAGUUGGGGGGGCGGGGGGGUGUUUGAGAUUGGGAUUGAGAGUGAACGCUGAACAACUUUUCUCCAUUUCACGGCAGGAUGAAGUGGAUCGAGUGUCUGUAAACCGAGCGAGGGCCCGAGUACCCUCGGAUUUUGCAACCUUCCCACACCCAGCCUUUACUAAGGCCAAGGAGGAGGCGAAAUCGGAUGCAGUUUGUGUGGGUAAAGUCUGUUUGACCUGUCCACCAGGUCAGGGCCAGGUUCAUCGGAUUGUCCUCCUCCGUGACCAGCUGCAUGAACUACACAGCCGCCUGAUGUCCUAGUGCACCACCCUCAGUACAGCAAUUCCAAUAGGAUUCCCCACCUUUGUCUUGUAUAAGGCUGUAUGUGUGUGCGUGUAUCAGUUUAUCGACAAAACCCUGUGGUUACAACACUAUAUCUGUUUGAAAUUAACCCCUUACAACCUCAGUAAUGUCUUUCUGCCCAUCCUGCAUCUCUGAUAUUUUAGCUUACAACAUCUGAAAGAUCAGUCCAGCCACUUCAGAAAUGUACUCCAAUCUUACCCAUAGCGAAUACUUCCCAAAUACUUCUCUCAUUCAACCGAGGUCAUGGAGUGGUUAAGGAUUUAACUGGUCACCCUUGUACCUGAGACCGAGGUUAACGUAUGUCAGACUACCUUGAAUCAGUGGCAGUGCUUGGACUGAGAAUUCCAGCCCCUGGUAUUGUUGCAAACUGCACUCCAAUCACUGAGGCAUCACACCCUCAUCCAAUGAAUGAUUACUGACUUUGAUCAAGCUCAGAGCCUGAGAGUAACAGGAGGUUCUGAGUCAACCCACUGCUCUCUCCCCGUGCCCACCCUUCCCCUCCCCCUCCCAAAGCUCCAUCUCUAACCCUGCCAAUCUCCCUGUCUGUCUCUGGGUCUCUUUCUCUCUCCUCCUCCCUGCUGCAUCCAUUCAACCUCUUCAGCUGUAGCCUUGCCUGUCUCCCCCCAUGUCCCCUUUUUGCUGGGGAGCUGGUGUUUGUGGAGUUCGUGACUGAACAGCAGUGUGAGUAUGGUGCAGGAGCCUGAAGUGAUGACACUCAGCAACGUUAGCCUUUGGAUCCAAUUUCUGGCUGCCAGCAGUAGUACCUUUAUGUUUAUGCUGGUUUACAGUGAAUGAGUUGGUUGUAUGUUCAUUAAACUUAACCAUAUUUAAUCACUCCAUAUGAAAUGAUGUUAUCAGAUAAAUUCUAGAAUAAACAUUGGCCUGUGGUCUAAGUAUUCUCAAA